AAUGUUCCCCGCCUCCGAGCCCGGAUAGACCCCCUGGGCCUUCCGGGCCGGGCCUUCGGGCCCCGGGGUGGCGGGGGCAACCCCGUCGCCUGCCGCGGUGGCAAAGGAGGUUUCCCUUGCGCUUU
rnacentral:ncRNA from 1 species